rnacentral:rRNA from 1 species
UUCGGGAAGCUGUAGGGGGACGCAGGAAGGUAGAUGAACCCGGUGAAUGGUAGAACCGGGGUAAGCGUGUAGGAGGAGGACCAGGUAAAUCCGGGCCUCAUAAACUCUGAGACGUGAUACCGAGCCGCUUCAGGCGAAGUCAUUGAUCCUAUGCUGCCUAGAAAAGCCCAGCAGCGAGUUGACAUGGUGCCCGUACCCCAAACCAGCACAGGUGGACAGGUAGAGCAUACCAAGGCGAGUGGGAUAACUAUGGUUAAGGAACUCGGCAAAUUGCCUCCGUAACUUCGGGAGAAGGAGGACCCCAGCAGCGUGAUGAGACUUGCUCUCUGAGCGUGAAGGGGUGGCACAAAAUUGAGGGAAGCGACUGUUUACCAAAAACACAGCAGCGUGCUAAGCCGUAAGGCGCUGUAUACGCUGUGACUCCUGCCCGGUGCUGGAAGGUUACGGGGAUGGGUUAGUCCUUCGGGACGAAGCUCUGAACCUAAGCCCCAGUAAACGGCGGCCGUAACUAUAACGGUCCUAAGGUAGCGAAAUUCCUUGUCGGGUAAGUUCCGACCUGCACGAAUGGAGUAACGACUUCCCUACUGUCUCAACCAUAGACCCAGCGAAAUUGAAGUACGAGUAAAGAUGCUCGUUAGCUGCAGAAGGACGGAAAGACCCCGUGGACCUUUACUAUAACUUGAUGUUGUGUUUUGUCAUAUGUUGUGUAGGAUAGGUGGGAGACUUGGAAGCAUGGACGCUAGUCUGUGUGGAGUCAUCGUUGAAAUACCACCCUGCAUAUGGUGAGGCUCUAACCUAGACCCGUUAUCCGGGUUGGGGACAGCGUCAGGCGGGUAGUUUAACUGGGGCGGUUGCCUCCUAAAGAGUAACGGAGGCGCCCAAAGGUUCCCUCAGCCUGGUUGGCAAUCAGGCGUUGAGUGCAAUGGCAAAAGGGAGCUUGACUGCGAGACCUACAAGUCGAGCAGGAGCGAAAGCUGGGCAUAGUGAUCCGGCGGUUGCGUGUGGAAGCGCCGUCGCUCAACGGAUAAAAGGUACCCCGGGGAUAACAGGCUAAUCUUGCCCAAGCGUCCAUAGCGACGGCAAGGUCUGGCACCUCGAUGUCGGCUCAUCGCAUCCUGGGGCUGAAGCAGGUCCCAAGGGUUGGGCUGUUCGCCCAUUAAAGCGGUACGCGAGCUGGGUUCAGAACGUCGUGAGACAGUUCGGUCCCUAUCCUCUGCAGCCGGAGGUGAAUUGAGGAAAGCUGUCCCUAGUACGAGAGGACCGGGACGGACGCAGCUCUCGUGUGCCAGUUGUCCUGCCAAGGGCAUGGCUGGUUAGCGACCUGCGGAAAGGAUAACCGCUGAAAGCAUCUAAGCGGGAAGCCUCUUCCAAGAUGAAUUCACCCACAGGGUUAACCUGGUAAGGCCCGUGGUAGACCACCACGUUGAUAGGCCGGAAGUGUAAGCGUGGCAACACGUUCAGCUGACCGGUACUAAUCGGCCGAGGGCUUGA